AGCGAACGCUGGCGGCAUGCUUAACACAUGCAAGUCGCGCGGGUGGUUUCGGCCAUCAGCGGCGGACGGGUGAGUAUCGCGUAGGAAUGUAUCCCGAGGUGGGGGACAACCCUGGGAAACUGGGGCUAAUACCGCAUGGGGCCUGUGGGUCAAAGCCUUAGGGCGCCUUGGGAGCAGCCUGCGUCCGAUUAGGUAGUUGGUGGGGUAAAGGCCUACCAAGCCUGCGAUCGGUAGCUGGUCUGAGAGGACGAUCAGCCACACUGGGACUGAGACACGGCCCAGAAUCCUACGGGAGGCAGCAGUGGGGAAUAUUGGACAAUGGGCGCAAGCCUGAUCCAGCAAUGCCGCGUGGGUGAAGAAGGUCUUCGGAUUGUAAAGCCCUUUCGGCGGGGACGAUGAUGACGGUACCCGCAGAAGAAGCCCCGGCUAACUUCGUG
rnacentral:rRNA from 1 species